GGCGAACGGGUGAGUAACACGUGGGUAAUCUGCCCUGCACUCUGGGAUAAGCCUGGGAAACUGGGUCUAAUACUGGAUAUGACCUUUCUCCUUAUGGGGUUUGGUGGAAAGUUUUCGGUGUAGGAUGAGCCCGUGGCCUAUCAGCUUGUUGGUGGGGUGAUGGCCUACCAAGGCGACGACGGGUAGCCGGCCUGAGAGGGUGAUCGGCCACAUUGGGACUGAGAUACGGCCCAG
rnacentral:rRNA from 1 species